rnacentral:rRNA from 1 species
UACAGAGGUGGCAAGCGUUGUUCGGAAUUACUGGGCGUAAAGCGUGCGCAGGCGGUUGUGUAAGACAGAUGUGAAAUGCCCGGGCUUAACCUGGGAACUGCAUUUGUGACUGCAUGGCUAGAGUUUGGCAGAGGGGGGUAGAAUUCCACGUGUAGCAGUGAAAUGCGUAGAUAUGUGGAGGAACACCGAUGGCGAAGGCAGCCCCCUGGGUCAAGACUGACGCUCAUGCACGAAAGCGGGGGGAGCAAACAGG